ACGGAGGGUGCAAGCGUUGUUCGGAAUUAUUGGGCGUAAAGCGCGCGCAGGCGGCUCUCUAAGUCUAUGGGUAAAAGGCCGGGGCUCAACCCCGCGUACGCCCAGGAUACUGGGGAGCUGGAGACACGUAGAGGCAAGCGGAAUUCCGGGUGUAGCGGUGGAAUGCGUAGAGAUCCGGAAGAACACCGGAGGCGAAGGCGGCUUGCUGGGCGUGAUC
rnacentral:rRNA from 1 species